CAGUCUUUUUUUUUUGUUUUGUGCAGGAACGAAGACAAGAGUGAAGAGAGUGUGGUGUUAAAAUAUAAAUGUUAAUCUUCUGCUGACAACAUCCUACCAACCAAAGCAAGGCAUGAAAAUAUAAAUACUCCAACUACCAUCUACCAAAACAUGAUGAUGGAUCAUUAAAAAGCAACCAACCAACCAACCCCGGGUGCAAAAUAGAAGGAACGUGCUUGUGUUGUUGCUGAUAAAUUAUACUCCCAAUUGUUAAUUGUCCCGUCCCUCUCCGCAGUAGAGGAAACUAUAAAGCCAGUAAGCUGUCGAUCUGUCCGUCCAGUGUCUGGUUGCGAAAUGUGGGUCAUCUUUACUCUUUUCUUCUCUAACGAGCAGUGUCACGAAACUAUUGAUCGAAUCACGAAUCACGAUUCUGGUGUUGCCAGUUUGGACUCGGGCCAGCCAUCAACAAUAUGAAGAUCAAGAAGAUGACC
rnacentral:lncRNA from 1 species